UACGAAGGGUGCAAACGUUGCUCGGAAUUAUUGGGCGUAAAGCGCACGUAGGCGGCUUUGCAAGUUCGAUGUGAAAUCCCUCGGCUCAACCAAGGAAGUGCAUCGAAAACUGCAGAGCUUGAGUAGUUAAGAGGAUCGCGGAAUUCCCGGUGUAGAGGUGAAAUUCGUAGAUAUCGGGAGGAACACCAGUGGCGAAGGCGGCUUCCUGGCCUGUUCUUGACGCUGAGGCGCGAAAGCUAGGGGAGCAAACGGG
rnacentral:rRNA from 1 species